rnacentral:lncRNA from 1 species
GAGUCCAUCGUGUACCAUUGUUGCAUUGUUAAAUGUCAUGUCAUAUAAAAAUAUUUCAUAUACGAGUAUGAACUCGAUGAUGGGACUUUCCGAGGAAGUUUGUGAAGGCGAGUUUCUUCGAAAAAAAAAAUCUCUAGGUGAAAAAAUAUCUCUGAGUCCCACCAGUAUUAUGGGAGGGUUCAGAGAAAUAUCUUCGAUAAAAAUCUUUUGCCUGUAUUAGGACUUGCA